rnacentral:telomerase_RNA from 1 species
AAUAGGGGGUGUGGGGCAGGGAACCGCAUGUGAAUAUCCAAACCCUAAACCCCAUUCCCAUGGAAGGGGAUACAAAGUGGGGGGUCUUUCUCCGGUGUUUCCCUCCAGGUGGUAAAAGAAAGAAACUCCGAUGCCUUUCACGUGUAAUUCCCAAGUUGACUGAAAUGUCCCUUGAGAGGUUUGAAGGUAGUGCUGCCUGCAUCUGGGAUGGGUGUCUUGUGGCAACUGGUUGUCCUCACCUCUCGUGCACCCCCCCACCAUUU